rnacentral:rRNA from 1 species
UACGGAGGAUGCAAGCGUUAUCCGGAAUUAUUGGGCGUAAAGGGUCCGCAGGUGGCUUAUCAAGUCUGCUGUUAAAGCAUGGAGCUUAACUCCAUAUCGGCAGUGGAAACUGAUGAGCUAGAGUUCGGUAGGGGUCACGGGAAUUCCCAGUGUAGCGGUGAAAUGCGUAGAUAUUGGGAAGAACACCGGCGGCGAAAGCGCGUGACUGGGCUGAGACUGACACUGAGGGACGAAAGCUAGGGGAGCGAAAGGG